rnacentral:rRNA from 1 species
GCAGCAGCCGCGGGAAUACGAAGGGGGCUAGCGUUGUUCGGAAUUACUGGGCGUAAAGCGUGCGUAGGCGGUGAGUUAAGUCUGCUGUGAAAUCCCCGGGCUCAACCUGGGAAUGGCAGUGGAUACUGGCUCGCUAGAGUGUGUCAGAGGAUGGUGGAAUUCCCGGUGUAGCGGUGAAAUGCGUAGAGAUCGGGAGGAACAUCAGUGGCGAAGGCGGCCAUCUGGGACAACACUGACGCUGAGGCACGAAAGCGUGGGGAGCAAACAGGAUUAGAUACCCGUGUAGUCCCUGUCUCUUAUAC